CCUACGGGUGGCAGCAGUGAGGAAUAUUGGUCAAUGGACGAGAGUCUGAACCAGCCAAGUCGCGUGAAGGAUGACUGCCCUAUGGGUUGUAAACUUCUUUUAUCUGGGAAUAAAAUGUUCCACGUGUGGGCUUUUGUAUGUACCCUAUGAAUAAGGAUCGGCUAACACCGUGCCAGCAGCCGCGGGAAUUCGGAGGGUCCGAACGUUAUCCGGAUUUAUUGGGUUUAAAGGGAGCGUAGGUGGAUUGUUAAGUCCGUUGUUAAAGUUUGCGGGUCAACCGUAAAAUUGCAGUUGAAACUGGCAGUCUUGAGUAGAGUAGAGGUGGGCGGAAUUCGUGGUGUAGCGGUGAAAUGCUUAGAUAUCACGAAGAACUCCGAUUGCGAAGGCAGCUCACUGGACUGCAACUGACACUGAGGCUCGAAAGUGUGGGUAUCAAACAGGAUUAGAUACCCGAGUAGUC
rnacentral:rRNA from 1 species